GUCUCAGUUCGGAUCGCAGGCUGCAACCCGCCUGCGUGAAGUCGGAAUCGCUAGUAAUCGCGGAUCAGCAUGCCGCGGUGAAUACGUUCCCGGGCCUUGUACACACCGCCCGUCACACCAUGAGAGUCGGGAACACCCGAAGUCCGUAGCCUAACCAAUCUGGAGGGCGCGGCCGAAGGUGGGUUCGAUAAUUGGGGUGAAGUCGUAACAAGGUACC
rnacentral:rRNA from 1 species